GGCAACCCAUAGAAGGAGCCAUCAACGAGAGUUUGCAAAUUUCUUUAUCCCUCCUCUUUUCUUUUCGGAUUGCUCUUAGUUUUCUUACAUUGAGGACAAUGUUGAUUUUAAGUGUGGGGUGGAUGUCAUUACUCGUUGAUUUGCUAUGCUUUGAUAUGAUUUGAGUUGUUUUUAAUUUUUAGGAUUAAUUUUGAAUUUUUCGGAUUACAACUUUGUUUCUUUAUUUUGUGUUUUGCUUUUAUUUUGUUGAGUCUUAGGUGCCUUUUAACGUAUCUAGGAUGAAUAUAUGAUCUUUGAUUGAUUAGUUAUUGAGAUGAGCAUGAUUUCAAAUAUUUGAGCUUAUAUGUUAUUUGAUGGUUAAUAGAUAUGUUGCAAUUGUACGAACUUGUAGUAGAUGAGGACCAUUGAAACUUAGGUACAGAAUGAGCAUGUUCCUUGCUUGUUUGAUUUCAUAUUACCUUUGUGAGAUUUUUGAGCCAUAUAUGUGCCUAUUCUUUGGAGAGUUUACUCUAUCUAUUCUUUAUUAUAUAUGACCUCAUUAUACAUUACUUGAUCGAUUUAUAUGCCAUAGAGAUUGAAUGAACUAGAGAUCGCUAGAACUUACUUAUGAAACUUUCAAAACUUUUAUCAUAACUUACUUUGAUUUUGAAUAUGAUUGUGGAUCUUUCUUAGGACUAUCACCACUUUAUCUAGAUAGCCAUAUAUCCCUAUUUUGAGCCAUGUUUGGGACCCCUUAGUCUAAACCCCCUAGAGCCUACGUUAUGUCUUUCUUGUUCACCUAAAUUAUCCCUUGCCUAGUAUAGAAUUCCUCUACCUUGUCUCGAGCUUGGCAGAGCUAUCUUUUUGUGGUGAUUUGAGGUGAUGAUUCAAUACAAGUGUGGGGUUGUUCUAAGGAGUUUGGUGCCGAGAUACACAUGAGAAAAGAAAAACAAUUGCUCUCGUGAAAAAAAAAAAAAAAAGUUUCGAAUUGAUUUUGAUAAAGAUAUCUCGGCCUAGAUGUAGUUUUUGUGAAUUUGGAGUUGUGAUUUGUUUGUUGAAGGCUCAAUAUGUUAUACUUUUAGCCUUUGUUCGUUUUCACAAUGUUUAAAGUGAAGGAUGGGUCCAACAUGAUGAUAUUUGGCCCUUGAUGGUGUUUGAUGACAUAA
rnacentral:lncRNA from 1 species